rnacentral:rRNA from 1 species
AGAGUUUGAUCCUGGCUCAGAGCGAACGCUGGCGGCGUGCUUAACACAUGCAAGUCGAGUGCGCAGUUCCCUGUAGCAAUACAGGGGAUGGGCGCACGGCGCACGGGUGCGUAACACGUGGGCAAUCUGCCCUCGGAUGGGGGAUAACCCCGCGAAAGCGGGGCUAAUACCGCAUGACAUUCCGAAGACUCCGGUCUUUGGACUCAAAGCCCGCAAGGGCGUCUGAGGAGGAGCCCGCGCCCGAUUAGCUAGUUGGUGAGGUAACGGCUCACCAAGGCUUUGAUCGGUAGCCGGUCUGAGAGGAUGGCCGGCCACACUGGAACUGAGACACGGUCCAGACUCCUACGGGAGGCAGCAGUGGGGAAUAUUGCGCAAUGGGCGAAAGCCUGACGCAGCGACGCCGCGUGGGGGAUGAAGCUUCUCGGAGUGUAAACCC